rnacentral:rRNA from 1 species
AUGUCGCGAUGGCGUCGCGGCCGCCCGUCGCUGCUCCUGCUCCGUCGAGCCUUCCUCCUCGCAGCCGUCUCUGCCGCCGCCCUCUUCCUCCUCCUCAGCCAUCAGGGCCCUGACCCCCGCAAACCCUCCUCUUCGUCUCCCGACUCGGCCUUCUCAGAAGAGCUCUCGGUUGACCCGCCUCCCCACUUCGUCUUCUUGGAAGAGCUAUCCGUGGACCCGCCUCCCGCCUCGGCCUUGCCGGAAGAGCUCUCCGUUGAGCCGCCUCCCGCUUCGGCCUCCUCGGACGAGCUCCAUGUCGUGCCGCCUGACGCGGCGGCUGGUUCGGAGGGAGGGCCCGGCGGGUCAACGUGCGCGACGGUGGAGGAGAUGGGGGAGGAGGCCGUCGGCGCGGGGUCGACUGAGGCGGCCAGCCUCCGCGUCCGCGAGCUGAUUCGGCGCCACUUCCUGCUCCACGGCGCUGCGAGAGUUAGGUCGCUGCCUGCAGCUGAGUUCUGCAAACAAGGCUUUGUGUUGGGGAAAGCAUCUGAAGCUGGGUUUGGCAAUGAGAUGUACAAGAUAUUAACGGCAGCAGCUCUGAGUGUUAUGUUAAACCGCUCCCUGGUCAUCGGCCAAACCAGGGGAUUAUAUCCAUUUGGACAUUACAUUUCUUAUACUGACCACUCGUUUACUAUUGGAGAAAUCAAGCAUUUAUGGAGGAAAAACCGAUGUGCCCAAACAUAUGGUAGAGAUCUGAAUGUGAGGGUAGACGAUUUUGAGAAUCCCUCGGAGACAAAUGUUCUUUGUAGUGACUGGAGCAGAUGGAAAGAUCCAAUAAUCUGGUUUGAUGGCACAACAAAUGCAGUUGGAAUCCAGUUCUUUCUAAAGAAUGUUCACCCUGAAAUGAAAACUGCUGCUUCAACAAUUUUUGGAUCCUUAGGCAUGCUACAUGCCAGGCCUAAUACAUUCGGGGAACUUAUGCGAGUGAUCAUAUCUCCCUCCCAGGUAGUCCAGAAAGCAGUUCAGUGGGCAUCGAAGAGUUUCAGUCCAGAUAUUGUUCUGCACAUGCGAAUGAUGGCCAAUAGGCCAGUACGAGCAAGAACUGCUGCAGUUGGUUGUAUUCAGAAAGCUAUACAGAUUUCUGGUUUGAAGGGUACACCUCGGGUGGCAUUGAUCUCCGACACACCAUCAUUUGUUAAGGAGAUGAAGCAAGAGAUCAGUGAGUUUGCAGAGGUAACUUAUUUUGAUUACAAAUCGUUUGCCAAGAGUUUUGACCUAGAGAUGAAUGGAAAGGACAAGCCCUUGGACUUCCGGUCACGAGACUGGGGAACAGCUCCAAGGUGGGCGGCCUUCGUCGAUUUCUUCCUGGCCUCAAGCGCCAGGCACACGGUCAUCACCGGAGCGCAUUGA